rnacentral:lncRNA from 1 species
AUGGGGUCCCCCGGUGAGGUUGAUACUCCGCCGCUUGCUCCGUUGCCCGAUCUCUAUAAACCUACCUUUAACUGCUUCUUCCAGCAUGCCGACUGUGGAUUGAGUACUCGAGUACACCGCCUGCUCUUUGGAGAGGAGGGUUUCGUAACCGACGCUUCCACGGCAGGCUGGGUCCUGUGUCUGAGCCUUGGGACUCGCGCGGUCUCCCUCCCUACUGGACACUGCUGGUCUUUGAUUCCCGCGGUGGACGUGGCUCUGUCAGCCGCGGUCGCUCCUCUCUCCUCUCGACAACCACUGCGUCCCUCACUGCAUUUCCCUGCUUGCCUUGCGCGCAGUCAGCCAUUGCGGGAUGCACAGACGGCCCCAGAGCUCUGCCGCACACACAGGACUCACUCAUGUGGCUGGGGACCCGUGCGUCGUCGCCUGGGGACCCGUGUGGCGCCUGGGGACCCGUGCGUCGUCGCCUGGGGACCCGUGCAUCGUCGCCUGGGGACCCGUGUGGCGCCUGGGGACCCGUGUGGCGCCUGGGGACCGUGUGGCACCUGGGGACCCGUGCGUCAUCGCCUGGGGACCGUGUGGCACCUGGGGACCCGUGCGUCAUCGCCUGGGGACCGUGUGCCACCUGGGGACCCGUGCGUCAUCGCCUGGGGACCCGUGUGGCGCCUGGGGACCUGUGCGUCGUCGCCUGGGGACCGUGUGGCACCUGGGGACCCGUGUGGCGCCUGGGGACCGUGUGGCACCUGGGGACCCGUGCGUCAUCGCCUGGGGACCGUGUGGCGCCUGGGGACCCGUGCGUCGUCACCUGGGGACCGUGUGGCGCCUGGGGACCCGUGCGUCGUCACCUGGGGACCGUGUGGCACCUGGGGACCCGUGCGUCGUCGCCUGGGGACCUGUGCGUCGUCGCCUGGGGACCGUGUGGCACCUGGGGACCCGUGCGUCGUCGCCUGGGGACCCGUGUGGCGCCUGGGGACCCGUGCGUCAUCGCCUGGGGACCGUGUGGCACCUGGGGACCCGUGCGUCAUCGCCUGGGGACCUGUGUGGCACCUGGGGACUCGUGCGUCAUCACCUGGGGACCCGUGUGGCACCUGGGGACCCGUGCGUCAUCGCCUGGACCCGUGUGGCACCUGGGGGACCCGUGCGUCGUCACCUGGGACCCGUGUGGCACCUGGGGACUCGUGUGGCACCUGGGGACUCGUGCGUCAUCGCCUGGGGAACGUGUGGGCACCUGGGGACCGUGCGUCAUUCGCCUGGGGACCG